ensembl:rRNA 5S_rRNA 5S ribosomal RNA
GUCUAUGGCCAUACCACCCUGAACGCAACUGAUCUUGUCUGAUCUCGGAAGCUAAGCACGGUCGGGCCUGGUUAGUACAUGGAUGGGAGACCAGCUGGGAAUACCGAGUGCUGUAGGCU